UUGGGACCCGAAAGAUGGUGAACUAUGCCUGAGCAGGGCGAAGCCAGAGGAAACUCUGGUGGAGGCUCGUAGAUGUGCUGACGUGCAAAUCGCUUUUCGGACUUGGGUAUAGGGGCGAAAGACUAAUCGAACCAUAGGUCUAAAUACUAUGUGGUUAAGAGUCCAGUCGAAAAGGGCUGUGCUAGUCAAAGCUGAUCAGCAGAUGGCGCGGAUCAGUAGUUGGCAAGACCGUCAAAUUGCGGGAAAGCGUUGCGAAGUCAAUGGUACGGUCCGCUCGGGGAAACUCGAGCCGACACUCAGGCUAACCACCUGAGGUAUCGUAACAACCCAUUGAAUAGACGCAAUCCGCAGCCAAGUCCUAAGUGCCGGUCUUCGGACCAGCAUAUGGAUGCAGUUCACAGACUAGAUGUCGGUCGGGGGUCUGCUUCACACGCAGUCCUCUUAAGGUAUAGUCGGUCCCCAGCGAGAGCUGGUCUUACGGAGGAAGUCUGCGCCAGACCGAGAGCCGUAAGAGGUACAGGGUAGUAGUCCAGGCCGUAAGGCUUGUGACGGCAAAUAGCCUCCUGAGCCGGAAUAAACGCUAGUAGCUGGUUCCCUCCGAAGUUUCCCCCAGGAUAGCUGGAGCUCGGUCAGUUUUAUCGGGUAAAGCGAAUGAUUAGAGGUACCGGGGAAGAAACUUCCUCGACCUAUUCUCAAACUUUAAAUAGGUAAGACGUCUGAGUUGCUUAAUUGAACUCAGGCAUUCAAUGAGAGCUCCAAGUGGGCCA
rnacentral:rRNA from 1 species